rnacentral:lncRNA from 1 species
CUUUUAAACUCUCUGGUCUCUCUCUCUCUCCCCCUCCCUCUCUCUUUCUCUCAGAGUUUUCUUCUCUGUUUUGAAUCUGGAAUUUUUCCAGAGUGUUAAUCACAGAGAAGUUCUUGUAAACUAGUCUUGCUACAGUAAUUGAUCGGCCUAAAAUAUUGGCUAUCUAUUGUAGGUAGUUUUUGAUAGUUUGAGAAAAGAAGGUUGUGUCCAAUUUGGAGAUCCUUUGUGAAUCGAUAAACGAACUGAUUGUACUAAGUUGUUCUCUGUAUUUUGCUCUCUCUAGAAGGUAGUUUGUACAUAAUGGAUUAGGUUUAUCCUAAGCUCCUAGAUUAAGCCAUUUUCGAGUGAACUGGGUGAACAUUUUGUUGUGUUCUUUACAUUUUCGUACCGUAUGUUUGUUUUUGGUUGAUAUCAUUUAUGGUCGUUGGGUAAUAAUACCCAACAAAUCUAGUAUCAGAGCCAGUUCUCGAGGCUUCUCGGUAAAACAUCUUUGUUCUGAGAAUAAUCUUUUGAAUUGAUCAAAGAUUUGUAAAAUCCCAGAUUUUUUUGAAGUUCUAG